rnacentral:rRNA from 1 species
GAUGAACGCUGGCGCCGUGCCUAAUACAUGCAAGUCGAGCGAACGGACGAGAAGCUUGCUUCUCUGAUGUUAGCGGCGGACGGGUGAGUAACACGUGGAUAACCUACCUAUAAGACUGGGAUAACUUCGGGAAACCGUAGCUAAUACCGGAUAAUAUUUUGAACCGCAUGGUUCAAAAGUGAAAGACGGUCUUGCUGUCACUUAUAGAUGGAUCCGCGCUGCAUUAGCUAGUUGGUAAGGUAACGGCUUACCAAGGCAACGAUGCAUAGCCGACCUGAGAGGGUGAUCGGCCACACUGGAACUGAGACACGGUCCAGACUCCUACGGGAGGCAGCAGUAGGGAAUCUUCCGCAAUGGGCGAAAGCCUGACGGAGCAACGCCGCGUGAGUGAUGAAGGUCUUCGGAUCGUAAAACUCUGUUAUUAGGGAAGAACAUAUGUGUAAGUAACUGUGCACAUCUUGACGGUACCUAAUCAGAAAGCCACGGCUAACUACGUG